CACGAAUUCGUGUGAGCUAACCCAUUUAUAUGUUUAUGUUGCAUAAUACCUGUUGAAUUUGGGUUAGGGGUGAAAGGCUUUCCAAAAACGAGGAUAUCUUGAUGUAAGUGAAAAAGAUUGAGUUUUAAGGUGGUUACAAAGUUAUAAGAUUUUGUAAGAGAUUUAAUAUUUAUGACUACAAGAUGCGGGUAUAAAAACCUGCAAGAUAAGGAUACGAAUAUAGAUAAGGAAAAUUUAUUUUACUAAUUUACGGUAACGCAACUUUAGAAUAAUCAUUAUGUUAAUAUAAGUACUUAGAAGAUACUCAUAGUGAACUCGGCAAUAAAGCCUUCAACUGUUUACCAAAAACAUAGCCACAUGACCCACAUGUGGUGUGUUCUGCUCAAUGAUAUUUAAAUAGCCGCAGUACCCUGACUGUGCAAAGGUAGCGAAAUCAUUUGUCUCUUAAUUGGAGUCGUGUAUGAAUGAAUGCAUGGGGGCUUACUUUACCAUGGAUAUGGCGCGAAUUUUCUUAAGAGGUGAAAAAACCUUUAAUUAAAUAAUAGACGAGAAGACCCUUGAAAUUUGUGAAUAAGUUUUGUUGGGGCAACAUGGUAGAUAAACCUAUUAAAUGUACAUGACAUUUUUUUGAUUGACUAAAUUACUCUAGGGAUAACAGCAUAAUUCUGCAGAGUUUGUGACCUCGAUGUUGGAUUAGGGAACUAUAGCUUAAAA
rnacentral:rRNA from 1 species